CAGUAGCCGCGGUAAUACGAAGGGGGCUAGCGUUGCUCGGAAUGACUGGGCGUAAAGGGCGCGUAGGCGGAUGGCACAGUCAGAUGUGAAAUUCCCGGGCUUAACCUGGGGGCUGCAUUUGAUACGUGUUGUCUAGAGUGAGGAAGAGGGUCGUGGAAUUCCCAGUGUAGAGGUGAAAUUCGUAGAUAUUGGGAAGAACACCGGUGGCGAAGGCGGCGACCUGGGCCUGCACUGACGCUCAUGCACGAAAGCGUGGGGAGCAAACAGGAUUAGAUACCCGCGUAGUCCCUGUCUCUUAUAC
rnacentral:rRNA from 1 species